rnacentral:rRNA from 1 species
GAGUUUGAUCGUGGCUCAGAACGAACGCUGGCGGCAUGCCUAACACAUGCAAGUCGAACGGGAUCCAGACUUCGGUCUGGUGAGAGUGGCGGACGGGUGAGUAACACGUGGGAAUCUGCCUUUUGGUUCGGGAUAACCGCGGGAAACUGCGGCUAAUACCGGAUGCUCCCGAGAGGGAAAAGAUUUAUCGCCAGAAGAGGAGCCCGCGUCCGAUUAGGUAGUUGGUAGGGUAAUGGCCUACCAAGCCAACGAUCGGUAGCUGGUCUGAGAGGAUGAUCAGCCACACUGGGACUGAGAUACGGCCCAGACUCCUACGGGAGGCAGCAGUGGGGAAUAUUGGACAAUGGGGCAACCCUGAUCCAGCAAUGCCGCGUGAGUGAUGAAGGCCUUAGGGUUGUAAAGCUCUUUUGCCAGGGAAGAUGAUGACUGUACCUGGAG